AGUUUUCUCUUGAUUGUUUUGAUUUACUCAGGAGGAGAAACUCUCAGUUUGGUCCUGGAGAUGGUGGAUGUUCACUAAGCUUACUGCGGUACCCAUUUCAUGAUGUAUGCCUCUGGGUCAGUAGGACCACAUGCAGCAAAUGGGCA